GAUGAACGCUGGCGGCGUGCCUAAUACAUGCAAGUCGAGCGAACAGACGAGGAGCUUGCUCCUCUGACGUUAGCGGCGGACGGGUGAGUAACACGUGGAUAACCUACCUAUAAGACUGGGAUAACUUCGGGAAACCGGAGCUAAUACCGGAUAAUAUAUUGAACCGCAUGGUUCAAUAGUGAAAGACGGUUUUGCUGUCACUUAUAGAUGGAUCCGCGCCGCAUUAGCUAGUUGGUAAGGUAACGGCUUACCAAGGCAACGAUGCGUAGCCGACCUGAGAGGGUGAUCGGCCACACUCGAACUGAGACACGGUCCAGACUCCUACGGGAGGCAGCAGUAGGGAAUCUUCCGCAAUGGGCAAAAGCCUGACGGAGCAACGCCGCGUGAGUGAUGAAGGUCUUCGGAUCGUAAAACUCUGUUAUUAGGGAAGAACAAAUGUGUAAGUAACUAUGCACGUCUUGACGGUACCUAAUCAGAAAGCCACGGCUAACUACGUG
rnacentral:rRNA from 1 species